CUACCACAGCCCAUCAGCUACCCAAAUAGGAAAUAGAGGGUGCCAAAAGGUCAAGCUUAAUUAUGCUAAGAGGGCUGUGCCCUCUAAGCUGGGAUUUGUUUGUGGCUUUGCCAACAGGUCAGUCUAAGGCUUAACCCUAUAUCCACUCCCUACAUUUCACCCUUCUUUCAUUUUUAAGCUACUAUAAUAAAAGUAAAACUUAAACAUCAAGGACAAAGCUCUGACUAUUAAAACAAUAACAAGGACAAUGCAAAACCCAAACUACAGAAAUGUUAAAAUUUUAAAACUUGAACAUCAAGAACAAAACUCUGGCUACUAAACCAAUAACAAAACAAUGCCAAUGCAACACAGCAAUAAGAGAGAAAUCAAACUACAGUAACAUUUUUCUACUAAAUGAAAGUUUCUUUUGCUGGUUUAUUCAGAGUUCUCAAACAUGGUUGAGGGAGUAGCUUCCACUUCUUGCUUUUCUACCAUCUGCUGGGCCUCAGUUGUUAACUUCUUCAGCUGACCCCAUGUUGGCACCUAGGGCUCUUGCGUAGCCUUCAUUUCUUCUUUUUUGCUUUGCUGUCAUCAGGGCAGCUCUCAGUCUUUUGAAUGAUGGGACAGGAGCUUCUCUGGGUCCAUUGUGGUGACACAUGUAACACUCUGGCAUCCAAAUUGGCUGCUCUGCUCCUUCUGGAAAGAUA